CUCAGUACAGUUUUUUCUAUUUUUGAUACCCUUUCAGUUUCUCUAUCUGAAGUUGGACUGGAGUACGUGGCUUUUGAUUCUCGUCUGUCAUUACAUCACAUGAGGAGGUGGCCCAAAGAUGGAAUCCAUUCUUGCUGAUCUUCAGUUAAAUUCUGAGAGGCUUUAUUCUGACAAGAAGUUUAAGGAAGUGGAAGGAAUGUUUACAACUUUCCUGAAAGAGGCCGAAAAUGAACCGGAGAAGCUUCGUGGUCAAGCAUUGAAUGACCGAGGACAUGCAAAGUACAUGCAAGUGGACUUUACGUCCGCAUUAAAAGACUAUGAUCAAGCCAUUCAACUCUGUCCUUCCUUGGCAAUUGCCUACUACAACAGAGCGACCAUCAAAUAUAGAAUGGGGCAUUUUAAGGAUGCAAUCACGGAUUUCAAGGUUGCUGUUGAUAAAUGUCCCGAUAAUGAGGAGUAUCGAAAGGGAUUAGAGGAGUGUGAAAAGGAAGAAAAAAGUCCAGCUCUUUCAUCCAGACUCUUCAUGAUCUAGCUUUUCUUAUGUAUUUGUGUCAGCUCUUACUCUUAGUCCGUGUUUAUAAUUCAUAUAUAUUAACAUACAUAGUUCCUAUAAUUAAUCAUUUAUUAGAUUUUCCUUUUAAUUAUUCUCCUUAGAAGAGUGGAGGCCAAUGAAAUACGUCUACUUAUUUACAUAGUGUGUUAUGAUCUCAACGUGACUCAUUUUUCCCAUCUCUUCUUAAUGAUUUUUUAAUCAUUUAUAUAUAUGGACCAAUUUUCUAGUCAAUUUUCUUCAUUAAUGAGAAUUCAACCAAAUAUUCUUGUAAUAGUAUUUCGGUUUUUCAAAUAUAAAAACUCAAAUACACUUCAUUGCUCGCUUUCAUUAUGUUGUUAUGUGUAUUAUACAAACAUUUGUAUUAUUAUGAUUGGUCUUAUGGUUAAUUAUGUUUAUUUAUUUUUUUAAAUUCAUACAUCUCAACAAUAAUUCAUAAUUAUUAUUUUUCUUAAUUUACGAUUCUCUUCAUUAUUUCUCUAAGCAUAAUAAUCAUUCCCGAUAAUAUUAAUUAUGUUUAAAAAUAUAUUUUAUUAUUUUCAGCAUCACUAAUUGUUAAAUAAAUAAUAUAUAUUAUGCGGCUCUUCAACACAAAA
rnacentral:misc_RNA from 1 species